GACGAACCGUGCGAACGUUGUUCGGAAUCACUGGGCUUAAAGGGCGCGUAGGCGGGUCGGUCAGUCCGGGGUGAAAGCCCCCAGCUCAACUGGGGAAGCGCCUUGGAGACGGCCGGUCUUGAGGGAGGUAGGGGCGUGCGGAACUUCCGGUGGAGCGGUGAAAUGCGUAGAUAUCGGAAGGAACACCGAUGGCGAAAGCAGCGCGCUGGAUCUCUUCUGACGCUGAGGCGCGAAAGCCAGGGGAGCAAACGGG
rnacentral:rRNA from 1 species